UACGAAGGGGGCUAGCGUUGCUCGGAAUCACUGGGCGUAAAGGGUGCGUAGGCGGGUCUUUUAAGUCAGGGGUGAAAUCCUGGAGCUCAACUCCAGAACUGCCUUUGAUACUGAAGAUCUUGAGUUCGGGAGAGGUGAGUGGAACUGCGAGUGUAGAGGUGAAAUUCGUAGACAUUCGCAAGAACACCAGUGGCGAAGGCGGCUCACUGGCCCGGUACUGACGCUGAGGCACGAAAGCGUGGGGAGCAAACAGGG
rnacentral:rRNA from 1 species